rnacentral:rRNA from 1 species
GGGGAAUAUUGCACAAUGGGGGAAACCCUGAUGCAGCCAUGCCGCGUGUGUGAAGAAGGCCUUCGGGUUGUAAAGCACUUUCAGCGAGGAGGAAAGGUUGGUAGCUAAUAACUGCCAGCUGUGACGUUACUCGCAGAAGAAGCACCGGCUAACUCCGUGCCAGCAGCCGCGGUAAUACGGAGGGUGCAAGCGUUAAUCGGAAUUACUGGGCGUAAAGCGCACGCAGGCGGUUGGAUAAGUUAGAUGUGAAAGCCCCGGGCUCAACCUGGGAAUUGCAUUUAAAACUGUCCAGCUAGAGUCUUGUAGAGGGGGGUAGAAUUCCAGGUGUAGCGGUGAAAUGCGUAGAGAUCUGGAGGAAUACCGGUGGCGAAGGCGGCCCCCUGGACAAAGACUGACGCUCAGGUGCGAAAGCGUGGGGAGCAAAC